GCCGCGCCACGCCGCCCGGGUGGGGGCGUGCAUGGCCCUGGUCGCCCGUCGGUCCGCCUGGGACUGGGGCGCGGCCCGGAGGCUCCCCGCCGGCUCCUCUCUGCUCCAGUAGCCCCUCCGCGCGACCCCGGGCGUUAGGCUGCCGAGCUGAGGCUCCGAGAGCAAAGCGAAUUGCAAAGCUCAUCUACAGCCAGAUUGACAGCAUAGUUUUUUAGGAAUCAAGAAUCAACUUUGGGCUAUUUCCUAAAAUUAAACCACGAAAGCCCUCUUGGAGUUUACACAGCCAUCUGCAGCACUUGAAUGUGAAAAAUGAUCUUCUUCCAUCAGAGAGAUCGCCCUCUUCAGCUAAAUCAUCAGAAGUGGUGAGAAGAAGAGACCCUACCCGACCAAACUCAUGCAGACAAAUUAAAUCCAGCUUUAUUUUUUUAAGCAAGGAAUGGAGUUGUACAGGGGUGGCCAGAUCACCGCACUGAUCGGUCCCCCUAGCACCUCCACCUCCAUGCAGGUUGUACCCAUGCAAGGCACUGGCUGAGGCAGCAAAUGGGAGUUGAAAUCCUGCUCAUGAUCCACUCACCAAGCCCAGUUGAUUGGUGCAUGGCCGUGUCUGCCCAGACGAUGUGGCUUCUUUUUCUAAUUUGCACCAGUGCACCCUGGUUGGGCUAGUGGCAAGUCUGACCAUCCCACUCCCAUAUCGCAGUCCUACCUGGAUUAUAUUCUUUGCCUCCGAUGGAUUCAAGAUUUUUAUGAACAAAUGACGUUUCUUGCAAAAGAUGAAAUAACUGACCCAAAUUGAAAUUGAUUUCAUAGGUAAAGCUCAGAAUAUGAUCAUAGAUAGGAAUUAUGUAUAUGUGUAUUUACAUAUGUAUGUAUGCACAGUUAUGUCUAUGUAUCAGAAGUUAGCAUGACUUAAAUUUGGUAAGUUUUAUUUUAAACUACUUUGGGUAUGGGAAUCAGUUUUAUAUAUGGAUUUCUGGACUUCACAGGAGUAUUUACUAUUUAAUUCCAUUUCAACAAAUACAUAUUAAGUGCCAGGCACUGUGCUAAUGUAUACAGUAAUGAAAAAUAAUACAAACACCCUGCCUGUAGGUAGUUACUAAUCUAGUAAGGAAGACAAAUGAUAAGGUCACAAAUAAACUUGUGAUUAUAAAUUACAGUAAAGGCUAUGAAAAGAAAUCCUAAGAUGGAAAAUAACAAGGCACAUUUAUUUCAGAUUAGGUGACUGGAAACAGCCUCCCUGUGAAAAUGACAUGUCAGCUGGGACCUGAGGGUGAGCUCGAAGGAGUUUAUGAAAUGCUGCCUCUCUGCCAUUUAAAGUUCAGAAAAAGGAAGGAAAUAAUGCCAUCUGCAGCAACAUGGAUGGAUCUAGAGAUUAUCAUACUAAGCGAACUGGUUGGCCAAUUUCUUGAAGACAGGAAGAUAUUUUAUACCCCCUACCAUGGAGCACACAUGAUAAACACUCGGUACAUAGCUGUGCACUGAUUUUCUCUGUUGAACCUCACCAUUGCUGUGAAGAAAGGGUCUGCACUUCUCAUUUAUUUAACUCUGCUGUCGCAUCUGGAGAAAUGUUAAUCAGCUGCAGCUUUUUCCUCCCUUGGCUGUAUGACUCAAUACUGUGUUGUCAUACUUCCCAAUUAGUAGCCGUUCCACAUGACUCAAAGGGAAAGAUGGAAAUGAGUCUCACCCAAGACAACAUAAAAGCAAAGAUAAUACAAUAAAUUAAGACUUCUGGUAAAACUACAAAGAAAAAGUGGGGAUUCCAAGAAACAUAGAUGUUCAGUUUUUUUACAAUUUAUUCCAAAUACUCCCUCAACUCCAUCACUUUUUUUUUUCCCUGCCAGAGGCUAUCUUCUGAAUGAAGGGGUGGAGGUACCAGGAUGGUCUUGGUGAGAGAUGGCUGUGAGGCCCGCUAUGAUAAUGUCACUACUAUGUGUGUGUCUUCUGGACCAUCCUUUGGAAAUUAUGCUGCUAUUAGCCAGGAAUCUUCUAGUAAUGCAAGAAUGUCAUGCACAAAGUAGGUCAUCUUGUUUAAAUUAGUAACACCCUGGCAAAACUAAAUCACUUGAUGAACGAAAUUAUUGCCAAGCAAGAGUAUUUCUGGUUAAUUUGCACUUAACUCAUUCAAAGGAUGAAGAUCCUUGAACUUCUUAGUCAAAUGGACCAAAAAUCAUCUAUCAAUUUAAAAUUUGGAAAGGAUACUAACACUCAUGUGGUCUACCAAGGCUAAGUCUUCUUUGUUUUCUGUAAUAUGCAAGGAGAAAAUUCAGUCUUGCAGUCAGAAGUCACAUUCUGAGGAAGCCAUUUUAUUUAAUUAUGUUUAAUUUUGCUCGUUUGAACUUUUGAAUAUUUUAUCCACAAAAUGCCAACAACUACUGC